UUUAAGUAUAUAUGUUUCUUGCAUGAUAUGUUACAAUGCAUAAGUAACUUGCAUGAUUCCAGAAGCUAUGGCUAUGUAUGCGACAUGAUGAUACUGAUAUUUUAAUCAUGCAUGUAAGUUUGUAACGUCUUAGCUAGCCAAGAGACACUGUAAUGGCUCAAAGAUGCUACUGAUCGAAUGCAACUGAGCUGGCCUUGCUAGUGGCCGAGAAUAACUUCGCUGGCCUUGCUAGUGGCCGAGAAUGACUAGCUGGCCAAUCACAUACUUAUUGUGCCAUGAUGAUUAUUAGAUGAAUAUGCAUGUCAGCUUCUCAAACCCUGAUUUCAUAUGCAUACUUUAUGAAAAUUUUUGUGAUUUGCACUAUUGCUUUGUUUAAAUCACAUACUUAUUGUGCCAUGAUGAUUAUUAGAUGAAUAUGCAUGUCAGCUUCUCAAACCCUGAUUUAUAUGUUUAGUCUACUGGUUGAUCCGGUAGGAUUAUGCAGGAUUACUUACUGAGCCGUGUAGCUCACAUCUGUUUAUGCUUCGUUUUCUUUCAGAUCCUCAUCAGUGAUCGCCAUCAGAUAUGUUUUUAUUUUGUUACAGAGCUUCGUAUUUUUGGAGAAGCUUAUAUACUUUUGUACAUUUGAAUAGCAUAGAAGUUCUGUAUUUUUUGUUUAAAACCUGAAGGUUGUACUGCAAACUUUUAAUAUAUAUAUAUAUAUAAGUUUGAAUCCU
rnacentral:lncRNA from 1 species